rnacentral:rRNA from 1 species
UGCAAGUCGAGCGCACCCUUCGGGGUGAGCGGCGGACGGGUUAGUAACGCGUGGGAACAUACCCUUUGGUACGGAAUAGCCUCUGGAAACGGAGAGUAAUACCGUAUGAGCCCUUCGGGGGAAAGAUUUAUCGCCAAAGGAUUGGCCCGCGUUAGAUUANGUAGUUGGUGGGGUAAUGGCCUACCAAGCCUACGAUCUAUAGCUGGUUUUAGAGGAUGAUCAGCAACACUGGGACUGANACACGGCCCAGACUCCUACGGGAGGCAGCAGUGGGGAAUCUUGGACAAUGGGGGCAACCCUGAUCCAGCCAUGCCGCGNGAGUGAUGAAGGCCCUAGGGUCGUAAAGCUCUUUCGCCUGUGAAGAUAAUGACGGUAGCAGGUAAAGAAACCCCGGCUAACUCCGUGCCAGCAGCCGCGGUAAUACGGAGGGGGUUAGCGUUGUUCGGAAUUACUGGGCGUAAAGCGCACGUAGGCGGAUCGGAAAGUAUGGGGUGAAAUCCCAGGGCUCAACCCUGGAACUGCCUCAUAAACUAUCGGUCUAGAGUUCGAGAGAGGUGAGUGGAAUUCCNAGUGUAGAGGUGAAAUUCGUAGAUAUUCGGAGGAACACCAGUGGNNAANGCGGCUCACUGGCUCGAUACUGACGCUGAGGUGCGAAAGUGUGGGGAGCAAACAGGAUUAGAUACCCUGGUAGUCCACACCGUAAACNAUGAAUGCCANUCGUCGGGUANCAUGCUAUUC